rnacentral:misc_RNA from 1 species
AAUCAUUUUUCCAAUAUCCUUUUCUUUUGGACUUGUAUUUUAGAAAACUUGGUUCAAGUAUGGAUGGUUGUGAUGAGGAAGGAAGGAAAAUCAGACAUGCGCCCCAGGAAGAGCCUAAAAGGUUUGUUCGACAAAAUCACAGUGAAAUAGAGAAAAGACGAAGGGAUAAAAUGAAUACAUAUAUCUCUGAGCUCUCAUCUAUGAUUCCAACCUGUGCUGCGAUGCAGAGAAAAAUGGAUAAACUGACAGUCCUCAGACUAGCGGUUCAGCACCUAAAGAGUAUCCGUGGUUCCCUGGAUUCCUACACUGAAGCUUGUCAUAAACCUCCUCUACUCACUGACAGUGAACUCAACAAAUUGAUAAUUCCGAGCGCUGAUGGAUUCGUCUUCGUUGUUGACUCAGUGCGGACCCGUAUUCUGUAUGUAUCUGAGUCUGUGAGUAGUAUUCUGAACUUCACUAGCCAGGAGCUCACGGGACAGAGUCUUUUCGAUAUUCUUCAUCCUAGGGACAUUGACAAGGUUAAGGAGCAGAUGAGUAAUUAUGAAGCUACACCUAGAGAGAGAUUAAUUGAUAGCAAGACAAUGCUACCCUUAGUAGGAGGAGAUGUUUCACAGUCAAACAGUAGACUUCACCCUGGAGCUCGGCGUGUGUUCUUCUGUCGGAUGAAAUGUAAACCUGUUUCUACUCUAAAUCUCAAGGAGGAGGAGGAGGAGGAUAUGACUCCGAAUCCAAUGCUUGGCUCCGGUUAUGGAGAAUCUUCAAUAUCCAACAAUAAUGGUGAGAAGAAGAAAAAGUUUCUGAACUCAGAUAAAAAGUAUUUAUCGAUCCAAUGUACUGGAUAUCUUAAAUCCUGGAAUACUAACAAGGUUGGUCUAGAGAACGAUUUAAUUGAUCUCGAAACUGAUCAGGACACAAGUAUGAGCUGUCUUGUUGCUGUUGGAAGAUGUCAGCCUAGUUUCCAAUCAACUAUUGAAGAUUGUAUGGACCAAGGAAAGACGACAUCUAGCUCGGUUCAAUUUUUUAGUAGACAUGGUGUUGAUGGCAAGUUUACUUUUGUUGAUCAAAGAGUGACUUUAAUGUUGGGUUACCUACCACAGGAACUAGUAGGAACGAGUUUGUACGAACAUGUACAGUACGACGAUAUACCGGUUAUAGCAGACUGCCAUCGCAGUACAUUAAGAAGCCCUGAAGAAGUGAUAACUCCGUUCUUCAGAUUCAGAACUAAGGAAGGAAAAUUUGUAAAGCUGGAGUCACGCUGGAAGCAGUUCCGAAAUCCCUGGAAUCAAGAACUAGAAUAUAUUAUCUGUAGAAACUAUCUUAUCUUCACCCAAGAGAAACUAGCAGAUGGAGGAAGCUUCGGCGACUCUGGGGACAUGGACUUCUUCACCGCUGACAGAUCCAACGCGGCGGCUUGUGGACGGGUGGUUGGGAAGGAUAUUCAGAGGGUGAUCACUUCCCACGCCGAGGCAGCUAAAAUUGGACGUAAUAUUGCCGAGGAGAUCAUGGAUAAAUGGCGGUCGGAUAGUUCAGCCAGUAAUAGUCCCUUGUCCAACUUUCAGGAGCUGAGUUCGAAUUCUUUACUGCCAACUACUAGUAACUCCGGGCAUCAGGAUCAUCCUUCUAGUCAGGCUGAUCCCCGAACUGAAGAUAAGGAGCCAAAUCAUCCUUGGGAUCUGGAACAGGAACAGGAACAACAAAGGAACAAAGAUUAUCAUAGAGAAGAACGUCAACGAGAGCAGAGUCAGCAAAGGGAACAAAAUCACUUGAGGGAACAGGAACAACUUAGAGAUAGAAAACAGCAGAGAGAUCAGGAACAAGAUCAACAAAGAGAAUUGAAGCUUAAAGCAGAGGAAGAUAUUCAAAGGGUAAAGGAAGAUCUGAGGAAAAAGGAGCUCAAGCUCGACCAGGAGAAAAAAGAUGAACAAGAGAAGGAGUACAUGAAGGAGCAUGUGGAACUGAAUAACGACGAUUCAAGUAAGGGCGCUGGAGUUAUUGUUUCCAGGACUGGUAGUUCAAGUUUAAGCUCAUGGCCUGCUGGAGCUACUAGACAAUUUGAUGAUCAGAUAAAAAGUGAAUCUGCUCGAGGUGUUAAGAGUUCUCCCCCCGCCUCCUCCCACUCAAGUGAGGGGGGGAAUGAUGAGGCGGCCACUGCUGUUCUAAUGAGUUUACUUGAGGCUGAAGCUGGUUUGGGCGGGCCUUUUGAUUUCGGAAAUCUUCCCUGGCCUUUACCCUAGAAUGGUUAAAUAUUGUGAAGAAGAAAAAAACCAGAUUGAAAUCAACUCUUACGACCUCAACAACAGCUUUAGGAAUAUUUAAACAAUUAUUAAACAUGUUUACUCACGAUAUUUCAGGAGGGAAGGAAGCCCAACCAUUUCGCUCGAGCUACCUCGAAAUCCUCAAUAUUUAUGCCAUAACGUGGCCAGAUUUAAAUAAAAUAGUUUUAUCAUCUCGACACAUUUAAAAAACAUGAUGGAAGAACGAAGAUUUGGAGGAUGGCUCAGACGAGAAAAUGAGGAGAUUUUGGAUCGGACUAGAAGUUGUUGUGGCUGGCCUUCCUCCCUUCAUUGCAGUCAAUGUACAAUAUGUACUGUCCAUUAUACUCAACGUGGCUCAACUUUUGUUUUAAUAUUAUAAUUAGUAGUAUAUAACCUUAGUCAGUUACGACAUAUAGUGCUGACUCUAGUUUUAAUAUUAUAAUUAGUAGUAUAUAACCUUAGUCGGUUACGACAUAUAGUGCUGACUCUAGUUUUAAUAUUAUAAUUUCUCCAAACAGAAAUGGAGUUCUUGAAAAAAACAUGUAUUUUAUAUAUUUCGAUCUGUAAACCUAUAAAAUCAUGAAAUAUGUGUGAUAUGUAAACGAAACAAGCUUUAUGACACCUGAUACUCAACUUAUCUGACCUAGUCAAUAUGGCCUUUUACAGAAUUAAGUUUUUUAUUUAAUUGAAAGAAGUAUGGGCAUUGUGUUCACUGUACCUCUUAAAUUGACUGUCCAAGUUAUUUCAAGUUUUCCUUAAUCCUUUUCCUAUCUGUAAACUUUGAAUUGCUGCGGAGAUAAAGAAAGUACUGGAUCAGUGUCUAUAGGGAUCGGGCACCUCCUUAAACGGUGGAGGGGGGCGGGGAUUUAAGUUAAUAGUAUUCAGUAUAUUUAAUUAACGUUGUGUCCGACUUUUUGGUUCCAUUAAAUUUUAUUUUAUCCUCUCCUGAUUAUUAUCUAUAUUAUGACUAGCUUUGUGAAAUAAAGAUUGCUGUUCUAUGUUCCUUAAUCAAAAGUGUUAUGUCCUGCGUGGCUGAUUUAUUUAAAAGAUUUGGCUCAUCAGUAGUUGUUAAAUUCUAAAUUUGUUAUACGUUGUUAGAUUUUGUAUGCCAUUAAAGUUUAAAUAAAAUUUUGUAUCGUUAAA